UGGGGAAUAUUGCACAAUGGGGGAAACCCUGAUGCAGCGACGCCGCGUGAGUGAAGAAGUAUUUCGGUAUGUAAAGCUCUAUCAGCAAGGAAGAAAAUGACGGUACUUGACUAAGAAGCCCCGGCUAACUACGUGCCAGCAGCCGCGGUAAUACGUAGGGGGCAAGCGUUAUCCGGAUUUACUGGGUGUAAAGGGAGCGUAGACGGCAAAGCAAGUCUGAAGUGAAAGCCCCGGGCUCAACCCGGGGAACUGCUUUGGAAACUGUUUAGCUAGAGUGCAGGAGAGGUAAGUGGAAUUCCUAGUGUAGCGGUGAAAUGCGUAGAUAUAAGGAGAACACCAGUGGCGAAGGCGAUCUACUGGACAGUAACUGACGCUGAGGCGCGAAAGCGU
rnacentral:rRNA from 1 species